AUUGAACGCUGGCGGCAGGCUUAACACAUGCAAGUCGAGCGAGCGGCGGACGGGUGAGUAAUGUCUGGGAAACUGCCUGAUGGAGGGGGAUAACUACUUGAAACGGUAGCUAAUACCGCAUACCAUCAGAUGUUCCCAGAUGGGAUUAGCUAGUAGGUGGGGUAAUGGCUCACCUAGGCGACGAUCCCUAGCUGGUCUGGGAGGAUGACAAGCCCCUCUGGACUGGAUCCACUGUCCAGACUCAGACGGGAGGCGUCAGGGGGGAAUAGUGCACAAUGGGCGCAAGCCUGAUGCAGCCCUGCCGCUUGGGUGAAGAAGGCCUUCGGGUUGUAAAGCACUUUCAGCGAGGAGGCGUUACUCGCAGAAGAAGCACCGGCUAACUCCGUGCCAGCAGCCGCGGUAAUUC
rnacentral:rRNA from 1 species